rnacentral:lncRNA from 1 species
UUUGUGGUGUUAGUGGGGUACAUAUCUUCCUAGACUAGACCAUGGAGCAGGAAUGGUGAGUUAUUUCUCAGCAAUUAUAUUCAACAUUUAUAAAUUAUAGUUGACAUUUUUAACUUACUAGCUUCUGCUAUUAACUUCAGUCACUUCAUGAUAAUGUUUAUAGCCGUCUAGGUACUCGUAUGAACUUGAACUUGGUGACACCAAUAUGCUACACUCAAGACCCCAAGCUUGACCUCGAUGGGUAUAGGUUAAUGGUCUCCUUACCAACCCUGCUUCAUCUCUCUACUUAGAAUAGCAUAAUAUACCAAAUUCCUUUUAUCUACUGGUUUUCUUCAUUGUUUGUUCUGUAUUUCAUAUUAUCAUCAUAAAACCUGUUCUACUGGAUUUUCUAAAGAAAGCCUGUGAGAUUUCUUUGGACUUGCAUUUCUUUAGACUAAAAGGUGUCCUGACAUGUAAUUGGAGGACUUUUAAUGUAUUCUUACACUAAGACAAGGAUGCUUCACAAUGAUUUAACUUAAUCUUGGGUGCUGGCAGGCAAAGGAAACAUGCACAAACUUUUUCUUGUUUUGUGUAAGGUAAUUCUUUGAGUUUCGGUAUGUGACUGUUAAUCCUCCCAAUUGAUGUCAGAAUUUUGAACAUCUGAGUUGUUGGAGUGGUGAAUAUUACAUACUUGGAGCUAGAAUUCCCAUCUGUUUCUUGAAGUUCCCGUUGUUGAAUGCUUGUCUUUCCUCUUGCUUCACUAUUUUGAAUACUUUAGCAUUGCAGUAUUAGAAUGAACUUCACCAGAUUUUUUUCACUGCUCUGAGCUGUUUUCUUCUUGUUUGCAUGUAAAUUCAAGGAAAGGAUGCACCUGGAUGUAAAGGGUAGAACCCCCAAGUAUUUUAAAGUGCUCUCUCUGGCACUCAGUGCCAAAAUUGUCAACGAAAGAGAAC